rnacentral:rRNA from 1 species
AGUGAACGCUGGCGGUAGGCCUAACACAUGCCAGUCGAACGGCAGCACAGUAAGAGCUUGCUCUUACGGGUGGCGAGUGGCGGACGGGUGAGGAAUACAUCGGAAUCUACUUUUUCGUGGGGGAUAACGUAGGGAAACUUACGCUAAUACCGCAUACGACCUACGGGUGAAAGCAGGGGAUCUUCGGACCUUGCGCGAUUGAAUGAGCCGAUGUCGGAUUAGCUAGUUGGCGGGGUAAAGGCCCACCAAGGCGACGAUCCGUAGCUGGUCUGAGAGGAUGAUCAGCCACACUGGAACUGAGACACGGUCCAGACUCCUACGGGAGGCAGCAGUGGGGAAUAUUGGACAAUGGGCGCAAGCCUGAUCCAGCCAUACCGCGUGGGUGAAGAAGGCCUUCGGGUUGUAAAGCCCUUUUGUUGGGAAAGAAAAGCAGCAGGUUAAUACCCCGCUGUUCUGACGGUACCCAAAGAAUAAGCACCGUCUAACUUCGUG